rnacentral:rRNA from 1 species
UACGAAGGGGGCUAGCGUUGCUCGGAAUGACUGGGCGUAAAGGGCGCGUAGGCGGCUUGCACCGUCAGAUGUGAAAUUCCUGGGCUUAACCUGGGGGCUGCAUUUGAUACGUGUGGGCUUGAGUGCGGAAGAGGGUCGUGGAAUUCCCAGUGUAGAGGUGAAAUUCGUAGAUAUUGGGAAGAACACCCGUGGCGAAGGCGGCUCUCUGGGACGGUACUGACGCUGAGACGCGAAAGCGUGGGGAGCGAACAGG